rnacentral:rRNA from 1 species
CGGACGGGUGAGUAAUGUCUGGGGAAACUGCCUGAUGGAGGGGGAUAACUACUGGAAACGGUAGCUGAUACCGCAUAACGUCGCAAGACCAAAGAGGGGGACCUUCGGGCCUCUUGCCAUCGGAUGUGCCCAGAUGGGAUUAGCUAGUAGGUGGGGUAACGGCUCACCUAGGCGACGAUCCCUAGCUGGUCUGAGAGGAUGACCAGCCACACUGGAACUGAGACACGGUCCAG